UCCUUCACCCAUAUCAGAAGUGAAAACAUUGCAGACGAGAGAAGUGGCGUUUUGCACAGAACCCAUCCGCGCGGAGUUAGCGAAAGCCAGCCAUCAGUGGGCAGGAAGGGCGAAGGAAAAUAUGUUCUACACCGAUCGGUCCACAUUGUGAAAUUAUUAGUUUCGGUGUAAAAUUGUAAUCAUUGGCAUUAUGCAAGUGUAAGAUGCAUCAUGUUCAGAAGUAACGUGAGCACGAGGGUGAAAAAGUGCAGCAUCACAGUAGGCGAGCCGUGUUUAGUAGCUAGUGAAAAAAUCUCUCCCUCGUCGAAUGAUCUUUUUCUGUUCUACUGCUCCGAAGAGGAAAAAAGAGCCCAUCGCCGCCGUCGCCGUCGUCGGCUCGCAGAAACAGAAGGCAAAGGCAGCAGCAGAAGCAGUACCUCUGCUUCGCUGAAGAAAAUGUAGCCCAUUGGAGGGUGAAAAAAGGCCGAAAAGCGUGAAAAAUUGUAAAAAUUUGUGUAAACAGAUCGGUACAUUGUGAAAUAUGUGUAAUAUUUGUGUGACGAAGGUGCACAAAUUAGUGAACAAUUUGCUGGAUCCUCGCGAGCAGGAAUUCGAGGUGGAAAAAUCAAUACUAAUAUAAAAAUUAACAAUGGCGGCUGUUUAGUUCGGGGAGGAGCUUCAAAACGAAUCCUCAUAGAAAAAAACCUACAUACAACAUGGUGAUAUGAGUAACUUACACAAAUAAUUUAACUGAUAUUAUAGCAAAGAGAUAAGCAGCUAAACAGCUAUCAUAUUCCUAGAAAAGGAAACGACGGACAAAAAAAAAGAAUAUACAACUCAGCAUUAGAGAAAUCGCGAAGAGCUUUUGUUUUCUUCAUUUUUAAAAUGCACAGCAUGUUUAAGCAACACAGUGAAGUUCAACGUAAAGUCGAAAGGAUUAAACUGUUAAACAUUUCGCUAAAGGCGUUUAUUUUCUCUCGCAAUUAUUUUAACAUUCCUGCAUCAUUUUUGUCAUCAACAUCGUUGUCGUCGUCGUCGUCGUCAUCACAACAACAAAAGCACACAAAAGGAUACCAUUUAGUUAGUGCGCUUCCCAGCAGUAGGAGCAAAUCGUUACUGUAUAGGUUGAUUGUUCAAACUUUUUUGGCCUUGUUCUUGGUAACAAAAUGCUGUGACGCAGCCAAGCAAGAUGCUUUACAAAGCAGCACAGGGUGCGCAUUUCCAAAACGUUGGGAGGGACGAUGGUUUCAAUCUGGGGUACAACAGGAAAUUACUAUAGAAGGAUCAACAUUAAGUACUAGAGGAAGAUGUAUCGCUAGUGAGGGAGAUAAAUUUUUAUUAGUGAACGAAAAAGGAUGUCAUCGAUGCGUUGUAAUAUACCAGAAGCAUAUAAACAUACUACAGUAUAAAGAAAGUGAGUGUGAAGAUAUGUAUACAGGCCAGCUGAAUCCAGCUGCAAUGCCUAUUCAUAGUGUUUUAAAAAGUGAUCAUAGUCGGGGGGCUCAUCCCAACGUGAACGGGCAUUCAAGAUUAUCGUCAUCGGAUCCGUAUAUACGAUCCAAUGAAGAUAGCGACAAUUGUAUGGGAUGCAAGGGACGUGAAACGUUGCACUAUCUUUGUGAACAAAUUCCCGGCGAUGCACUACUCUACAGUAUGUUCAAGAUCAACCCAGAGCCCAUCAAAUGUCCGCUGUCGGGGUCGUUUACCUUCACUUACAACCGUGGUCAUGGAGAGUGUAAGAAUCCCGUAUCAAAGAUGGAUAUGUGCACGGAAGACAGCAGAUUACUACUCAACUUUCAGGCAUGUCCUGAUGUGCCCGGAACAGAAAGCACUGUGGAGGAACUAACCUGUCUUGCUUGGUGGAAGGAUGGCAAUUCUCGAUAUCUUGUAGGACUAGUUUCGCACUAUCAUGCCACUUCUAACGAGGAUCGAUUCAGAUGCUUCGUAUAUGAGAAAAUCAGUGGUUCGGGAGCUGCAAACGCUGAUGCUGAGUACAAGUUGGCCCAAUCGGGUGAUGCGACUUGCAAUGGUCUGGAAAGUGCAGAGGUUGGUUCUCGCAUAAUGACUCUGAGAAGAGCUCCUAUGACAGAGCGAUGCGAUUUUCCAGCGUGGUUCAAAGGCCCUCGGCAUUGGCAUGCGUUGAUGGGAAACGCUAACUACAUUUUCCAUUCGAGCGAUGGAUCAUUACACAUCGUGAGACCAAGUGGCUAUAUGGAGGCACGGGCGCUCUGUGAACAAAUCAACAAGCAGACGGCCACCGAAAUGAUGGCCGUCGUUCAUCACACAACUGGAUGCACUUCUGGCUAUAUGUGUGUUAUGUUCUAUAGAAGAGAUACUCACGUAGCGGAGCUACAAAUGGGAACACCCGCAGCUAGACUCGAGGAUGCUUGUACGACCGAUAGCUUCGACGUGCACCGAACUCCUUUUGUUACUUUAUUAGCUAAUAAUCCAGAGACACAAAUAUGUCCGAUGGAGGGAUACUACUCAAUUAAAGGUUUCCUUAUUCCUUCCUCGUCGAUUUCAAGGCACAAAAGAAAUCACAACAACAAAAGCCGGAUGCACCGGCAUAGAGAAGUGGUAAAUUUCCGCAACCAGGAGAACGCGGAUAGCUAUUACUACAACUUGGAGAAGCGGAAAGCAUUCUCGCGCAUGAGGCGAACCGCUGCUACGGCGCAGCAGCCUAGUGAUAAUGUCACACAAGACUUUUACAGUUUAGAAUCUUCACGAACUCGUAGAGAAACGAUGGGAUGUAAUAUUAAUCACAAUACCAACAGACGUUUAUACAUAGGAUGUAAUGAAAACACUGUAAUAGAGGUGAAGCCAAAAUGUAAAAACGACGAGGAUGAAACGUACACCUGUCACGGACACUGGCAGGAAAAUCAGACGACGUUCAUUAUCGCGAAGCAUCUCAGCUCGCAGCAUGGCGUCUGCAUAAGUUACGUGCCAACCGAAGGUAACCAAGUUCAGGUAUACGUGGGAGAUACAUGUCAUCGACCGGGCAUGCAGAACGGUGCUACAACGACCACGACGUCGAUGGGCGGCAGUUCGCUCGCCUCCCAUAAGACUUUGUCGAAUGUUACCGUUAUAGGCAAAUGCGGUGACACCAGUGCAUCGGUCAUGCUACACUACCAUUAUAAUGGCUGGAUGAUUCUUACUGUAUUAUCGAUAUUGCUGUUUAAUUUUACCUUAAGAUGAUCAAAUUGUGAAUUUCAAUAAACGUCGGACAUGUUCUGAUCGUGGAAAACAUGGUUCAUCACAUUACGUGGUUGAAAAACAAAAAGUAAACUUAAGCAGCUGCGGAAGAUAAACGAAAACACACUGACACUGACGCGUCACGAAGAAGCUGAACAUCUCUUUUUUCAUUCAAUUAUUGAUCCCUUAUAAACGAAGAAAUCUUCCUUUCUCGAUCGGUUUCAAUUCAGUGAUGAUUUAGCGUAAGGAAGCAUAUUAUGUAUACAGAGAGACAUGAGUCGAGGGAUGACGAGACGAUGAACCUGGACGCUUGUAAAUUACCAGAGGAUCACAAUAAGAACAUCCGCAUAUUCCUAAGGAAUCUAUUACCCUUGCAUGAACGCAUCCGAAGGGGUAAACCCAUUGUUUGCCAAACCCACGAGUAUCGUCAGUGCAGGCGAAUUAAAACACACACACACACACAAACACAUUUUCAACCUUUUGUCAUACUCCAAACAAAACAAAUAAGCCUUCAUCAAAUGUAAUUGUGAGUUUUCCUGUUUUCCCGUGCCUCCUUCUAUUGGACCUAUACAAUACUCUCAAUGUAAUUGUUUAUUCAUUCUGGUCUUAUCGGAGUUUGGUUUUUCCUCACACUCAUGCAUAUUGUCAGCACCACUCUUGCUCGUGUAUAUUAUAAUGAAACCAUACACACAAUGCAGAGCGAAAAUAAGGAAAGAAAACCUAAACAAAAUAUUGCGGAUAAUAAAAUCAACGAAUCACAUUGCGCUUACGGUACUCCGAGAAGAAUAUGAAAAAAAAUUGUGGAGAAAAGAAUAUGAAGAAGCAGAAGAACUGUAUAAAGAAUAUUAAAAUCAUCCGUUUUUCCUUAAAUUAUGUAUUCACGGUUUCCUAAAUGAGAGAAUACAAGUGGUGAGGGAUGUGCAGAACUGAGCUAAGAAAAACAUUUACGAAAAUUUGGUUAAUUUGGGAGAGAGAGAUAGAGGAACAUACGAGCGAACGAGAUACAGAGUAAUGAACAAGAAGUAAGAAAGCGUUGCAUAUAGCGGUUGGUUAUAAUGUCUAAAACAAAAACGAAUGUGUUGGUAAAAAAACUGAAGUUUUUAAGGAAAAGGACUACAAGCAAGUAUUCUAGGCUUUUUAAAUUAAAUCAUCAACAGUAUAAAGAUUUGAUAUUUUUUGUGUAAGUACUUAAACCAAAAAAUAAAGCGCAUUAUG